UACAGAGGGGGCAAGCGUUGUUCGGAAUUACUGGGCGUAAAGGGCGCGUAGGCGGCCUGCUAAGUCGAACGUGAAAUCCCUGGGCUCAACCCAGGAACUGCGUCCGAUACUGGUUGGCUUGAAUCCGGGAGAGGGACGUGGAAUUCCAGGUGUAGCGGUGAAAUGCGUAGAUAUCUGGAGGAACACCGGUGGCGAAGGCGGGUCUCUGGGCCUUACCUGACGCUGAGGCGCGAAAGCUAGGGGAGCAAACAGG
rnacentral:rRNA from 1 species